rnacentral:rRNA from 1 species
AGAGUUUGAUCAUGGCUCAGGACGAACGCUGGCGGCGUGCUUAACACAUGCAAGUCGAACGAUGAACCACUUCGGUGGGGAUUAGUGGCGAACGGGUGAGUAACACGUGGGCAAUCUGCCCUGCACUCUGGGACAAGCCCUGGAAACGGGGUCUAAUACCGGAUACUGAUCGCCUUGGGCAUCCUUGGUGAUCGAAAGCUCCGGCGGUGCAGGAUGAGCCCGCGGCCUAUCAGCUUGUUGGUGAGGUAAUGGCUCACCAAGGCGACGACGGGUAGCCGGCCUGAGAGGGCGACCGGCCACACUGGGACUGAGACACGGCCCAGACUCCUACGGGAGGCAGCAGUGGGGAAUAUUGCACAAUGGGCGAAAGCCUGAUGCAGCGACGCCGCGUGAGGGAUGACGGCCUUCGGGUUGUAAACCUCUUUCAGCAGGGAAGAAGCGAAAGUGACGGUACCUGCAGAAGAAGCGCCGGCUAACUACGUGCCAGCAGCCGCGGUAAUACGUAGGGCGCGAGCGUUGUCCGGAAUUAUUGGGCGUAAAGAGCUCGUAGGCGGCUUGUCGCGUCGGUUGUGAAAGCCCGGGGCUUAACCCCGGGUCUGCAGUCGAUACGGGCAGGCUAGAGUUCGGUAGGGGAGAUCGGAAUUCCUGGUGUAGCGGUGAAAUGCGCAGAUAUCAGGAGGAACACCGGUGGCGAAGGCGGAUCUCUGGGCCGAUACUGACGCUGAGGAGCGAAAGCGUGGGGAGCGAACAGGAUUAGAUACCCUGGUAGUCCACGCCGUAAACGGUGGGCACUAGGUGUGGGCGACAUUCCACGUCGUCCGUGCCGCAGCUAACGCAUUAAGUGCCCCGCCUGGGGAGUACGGCCGCAAGGCUAAAACUCAAAGGAAUUGACAAUCGUCGACCUGCAGGCAUGCAAGCUGCACUGCCGUCGUACCCCCC